UACGUAGGUGGCAAGCGAUACUCGGAAUCACUAGGCGUAAAGCGCAGGUAGGUGGUUUGGUAAGUCUUUUGUGAAAGCUCCUGGCUUAACUGGGAGAGGUCAAAGGAAACUACCAGGCUAGAGUGUGGUAGGGGAUACUGGAAUUCCUGGUGUAGCGGUGAAAUGCGUAGAUAUCAGGAGGAAUACCUAUGGCGAAAGCAGGUAUCUGGGCCAUCACUGACACUGAGCUGCGAAAGCUAGGGGAGCAAACAGG
rnacentral:rRNA from 1 species